rnacentral:siRNA from 1 species
UAACAUCAAGUCAUAUUCGACUCC